rnacentral:sRNA from 1 species
UCAAAUUCCUGUCAGGGGAGGGUGAGAACCUUCGACCAAGGUUCGACAAAACCGGCACGGUUUUGAGCAACGCGCAGCGUUGACCCGCAGGGUGAGGUGCGAAGCACCGAGUUAUCCUUCCCCCACCACCA